UCAGUGGCGAACGGGUGAGUAACACGUGGGCAAUCUGCCCUGCACUCUGGGACAAGCCCUGGAAACGGGGUCUAAUACCGGAUACGACCUUCCCCUGCAUGGGGGUUGGUGGAAAGCUCCGGCGGUGCAGGAUGAGCCCGCGGCCUAUCAGCUUGUUGGUGGGGUAAUGGCCUACCAAGGCGACGACGGGUAGCCGGCCUGAGAGGGCGACCGGCCACACUGGGACUGAGACACGGCCCAGACUCCUACGGGAGGCAGCAGUGGGGAAUAUUGCACAAUGGGCGAAAGCCUGAUGCAGCGACGCCGCGUGAGGGAUGACGGCCUUCGGGUUGUAAACCUCUUUCAGCAGGGAAGAAGCGAAAGUGACGGUACCUGCAGAAGAAGCACCGGCUAACUACGUGCCAGCAGCCGCGGUAAUACGUAGGGUGCGAGCGUUGUCCGGAAUUAUUGGGCGUAAAGAGCUCGUAGGCGGCUUGUCACGUCGGGUGUGAAAGCCCGGGGCUUAACCCCGGGUCUGCAUUCGAUACGGGCUAGCUAGAGUGUGGUAGGGGAGAUCGGAAUUCCUGGUGUAGCGGUGAAAUGCGCAGAUAUCAGGAGGAACACCGGUGGCGAAGGCGGAUCUCUGGGCCAUUACUGACGCUGAGGAGCGAAAGCGUGGGGAGCGAACAGGAUUAGAUACCCUGGUAGUCCACGCCGUAACGUUGGGAACUAGGUGUGGGCGACAUUCCACGUCGUCCGCGCCGCAGCUAACGCAUUAAGUUCCCCGCCUGGGGAGUACGGCCGCAAGGCUAAAACUCAAGGAAUUGACGGGGGCC
rnacentral:rRNA from 1 species